GAAUUCAUUAUCCAUGGUUCCCCCCCCCCACCACUGUUAGACAAGAUCUCUCUCCCUCUGAUGUGGAAUGUUAUGAAUAUCACAUGUAGGUUCAUUUCGUUAUUUUUCCAAGGUUUUAUGUCUUGAUAGAUUUACAUUUUUUGGGAACUAUAAAACAUACCAGUAUAUUAAAUAUUUAAUAGUUGGAUCAACUUAACACUACAAAACAAGCAGUCUGAUAAUUCUGUACAACACCCAUACCCUGCACCUCUCCCACACACAUGGACACUGACAUGACCCUAAUGAUAGAUUUCAACACUGUGUAUGAAUCAUAUUGUGUGUGAUGGAAAAUUACAGGGAAACACUAUUAGCUUUAAUUCCCACUGUAUAAUUUUCAUACAGAAUAGAGUAACAGAAUUGUGGAAAUUUAUUUGGUCCCUAAAGUUCCACAGGACAGAUCUGGCGUACAAAGGGGGUUCCAGCAUGGACGUAAUGGAACGGCUGAGCUGGGUGGCCCUUAAACCCACCCAAACAAAAAGCUUCUCCCCAAACAUAAACACAUUUCUUUCCCCGAGUUGGCGUGGAUGGUAGGCGUGGAGUAAUGGAUCUUGGCUAAAUUGAUACUGCACCUCCAGAACACAACAAUCAAGUGACCACAGCUGUUUCCUGGCAUGCCUCUGCAACUGUAACUACCCACACACUCUACACCUGAUUAUAUACGACUGCACUCAUAGAGGAAGCAGAGGUGAUGGUGGAGACAUAAUCUCGCCAGCAAGUGCAUUUAGCGUCACGGAUGACACGGCGAGCGAGCGCACGCUUCUGCUUAAAAUCAAGAAGUCUCUCUGUGGUUCUAUUGUACCGGUACCUGCCCCAUGCAGCGCGUUUCAAACGUACUGCACGAGCACAAGCAGGAGACCACCAAGGCACGCAUUUCUGAGAAUGCCUGCCCGAAGUUUGGGGUAUAGAAUGAGAAGCUGCGGUUAAAACGGAGGACUAGAAGAGGUGUAAAAGCUCAUCGAUGGAGGACGAAGAAGGAACCUCCUAAAAACAGUUAGGUG